AAAACAAAUUAUAAUAUUUUGUUCUCAUGUUUUCUACGUAACUUCUCUCUGAAUUCAAUGCCAAGUUGUUUACUGAUGUAACAUAAUAAUGAGGUCAGCCCUAAGUUGUCUACUGAUGAAACACAAAAAUGAGGUCACAUCUUGCAGAAUCAUGCGAAGAUUUCAUCAUCAUGAAUUUAUUCCAAGGCAGUAACCAAUUUAGCAUUUGCAAAUUCAAGUUCUACAUACCUCAGCUUCAUCCUUGGUCAUUCCUUCCUUCCAUGCUUGAUC